rnacentral:tRNA from 1 species
ACUUAAGUAGUUUAUGUAAAAUAUUGAUUUGUGGUGUCAAUGAAAUAAUUAUUUAUCUUAGGUU